ensembl:lncRNA
AUGGAGAACGAGGAAGAGGAAGAUGAAAUCUUUACCACAUUUCAGGGAGGAUAUGAAGGGCAGGAAGAGGUGGAGGAUCAGGAGGAAGAAGAAGAACAAGAGGAAGAGGAGCCAGAGUCUGAGAGGAAGAGCAGUUGGGAUGUCCCAAUUCCAAGUCGAUCACUGGCCAGUCGCAGAGCUUCACUUCCGUGUCCGGAUCAACUGAAUGCGAUGCAUCUGAGCCGUCUGCACGCUGCCACGCUUCAGAGCGGUGAGGCGAGGCCGUGCUCUCACUCCAGCCAUGUUGCCAAUAGCGAGGAGGGAGCACACACCAAGAGAAGCGCAUGUGAACAACACCCACAUGCCAUCCCAACCAUCCCUGAGGUGCACGAGCCUCUGGAGAGAAAGGCUCGGUUUAGGAGCCGCAAUGUCAUGUCUCUGAGUGAUGCAGACAGUUUGUGUCUGAUCUGCCAUGACGACCUACGCAAAGGAGGAGGAGUUAUCAGAGAGCUUCACUGUUCCCACAGCUUCCACAGUGAGUGCAUAGAGGAAUGGCUGUGGACCAAGCAGACCUGUCCCACGUGUCAAAAGCGUGUUGCCAUGCCAGAGCCCCUGUACUGGACAUCUACCAGAGUAAUAGUGCCCUGAGCUCUUCCAGCCAGCUCCCAUUCAAACUACCUUGAACAUCAGAUGGCCAACCAAAACAUCAGACUCAUGGAUAACUGAGUACUCAUGGAUAACUGAGUAUGGAUAAAGAACCAGCUACAAAAAAAGGUGGUCAUAUGACUAAUCAGAUUUUGUUAUUCAGGGAAACAGAUUGGUUUUCUUUGUACAUAGGCUAAAGGAUUUUAACAUCACUAAGUGUAAAAUGGUUUUUUUUUUUAAAUCAUAUUUACAUAUUAAGAAAAUGUGUUAUUUUCUAUUGUGUUUAUUUUUUUCUGCAGAAAUGUAUGCAAACUGCACAAGCUGUAUGAAGCUGUACAAUUGUACAUUUUAAAAUGUACCUCACUAUAUUAGUAAUUCAAAGUAGGCCUACUCACAAUGUUGUUUUCAAAACGUAAUUACUAUCAACAAAAGUGUAGGCCUGCAUUUACCAGGUGUGUAUUUGAGUAAAUGUGCUUUUUUACAAUACUUAAGUACAUUCCACAUUCCUGUGAUGUUUACUAAACUUGAAUUGAAAACAGCCAAUGAAAUCUAUUUCAGUGUUGUCAUCAUAUUUGUCCUUGAGUGUUUUUUUUUACCCAAAGCAGCAGGUUUUAUUUACAUUAUAAACGUCAUUGCAUGUCUGUGAUGAAGUUUAAACAACUAAAGUGUGCAAUUACACUAAAACAAUUUUAAUUUAACAUCUGAUGUGUCUUAGAGCAUUACAUAAAGCAAAAGAGUGAGACAGUUGAGGUUAAUCAAGUAAUUGUGGGGUUAUUUUGCACAGUUUAAGUUACUUUAAUGUAAAUACCUAGCUAAGCUUUCACGUGAGUGUGUUACGUUUAGAUACUUAAAGUUUAAAUGAGUAAAAUAACAGUAAAUUCUUAAUACUUUUUACACAUCUCUUAUUAAGUUUUCAACAUGGAUCGUCUAGAAACAUCUUGAUACCUACUUUAUACCAUCGGUGUGAAUGUAAUACAAAAUGCGAGCGUAUUAAAGAUUAAAC